rnacentral:tRNA from 1 species
GAAGCAUAGCUCAGCUGGUUAGAGCGCCUGCUUCACACGCAGGAGGUCGCUGGUUCGAGUCCAGUUGUUUCC